UCCAAUCUCUUCUAUUUGUAGUUUAGUGUUCAAACUCUUUAAUUAAGGAAAGCUAUGUCUGAUAGCUGCUAAUAAAGAAAUCACACUUGGGGGCGCCUGGGUGGCUCAGUGGGUUAAAGCCUCUG